AGUGAACGCUGGCGGUAGGCCUAACACAUGCAAGUCGAACGGCAGCACAGUAAGAGCUUGCUCUUACGGGUGGCGAGUGGCGGACGGGUGAGGAAUACAUCGGAAUCUACUUUUUCGUGGGGGAUAACGUAGGGAAACUUACGCUAAUACCGCAUACGACCUACGGGUGAAAGCAGGGGUUCUUCGGACUUUUCGCGAUUGAAUUAGCUGAUGUCGGAUUAGCUAGUUGGCGGGGUAAAGGCCCACCAAGGCGACGAUCCGUAGCUGGCCUGAGAGGAUGAUCGGCCACACUGGAACUGAGACACGGUCCAGACUCCUACGGGAGGCAGCAGUGGGGAAUAUUGGACAAUGGGCGCAAGCCUGAUCCAGCCAUACCGCGUGGGUGAAGAAGGCCUUCGGGUUGUAAAGCCCUGUUGUUGGGAAAGAAAAGCAGCAGGUUAAUACCCCGCUGUUCUGACGGUACCCAAAGAAUAAGCACCGGCUAACUUCGUG
rnacentral:rRNA from 1 species